rnacentral:rRNA from 1 species
UACGGGGGGGGCAAGCGUUGUUCGGAAUUACUGGGCGUAAAGGGCUCGUAGGCGGCCAACUAAGUCAGACGUGAAAUCCCUCGGCUUGACCGGGGAACUGCAUCUGAUACUGGAUGGCUUGAGUUCGGGAGAGGGAUGCGGAAUUCCAGGUGUAGCGGUGAAAUGCGUAGAUAUCUGGAGGAACACCGGUGGCGAAGGCGGCAUCCUGGACCGACACUGACGCUGAGGAGCGAAAGCCAGGGGAGCAAACGGG